UGGGGAAUAUUGCACAAUGGGGGAAACCCUGAUGCAGCGACGCCGCGUGGAGGAAGAAGGUCUUCGGAUUGUAAACUCCUGUUGUUGAGGAAGAUAAUGACGGUACUCAACAAGGAAGUGACGGCUAACUACGUGCCAGCAGCCGCGGUAAAACGUAGGUCACAAGCGUUGUCCGGAAUUACUGGGUGUAAAGGGAGCGCAGGCGGGAAGACAAGUUGGAAGUGAAAUCCAUGGGCUCAACCCAUGAACUGCUUUCAAAACUGUUUUUCUUGAGUAGUGCAGAGGUAGGCGGAAUUCCCGGUGUAGCGGUGGAAUGCGUAGAUAUCGGGAGGAACACCAGUGGCGAAGGCGGCCUACUGGGCACCAACUGACGCUGAGGCUCGAAAGUGUGGGUAGCAAACAGGAUUAGAUACCCUGGUAGUCCACACCGUAAACGAUGAUUACUAGGUGUUGGAGGAUUGACCCCUUCAGUGCCGCAGUUAACACAAUAAGUAAUCCACCUGGGGAGUACGACCGCAAGGUUGAAACUCAAAGGAAUUGACGGGGGCCCGCACAAGCAGUGGAGUAUGUGGUUUAAUUCGACGCAACGCGAAGAACCUUACCAAGUCUUGACAUCCUGCGACGGUACUGGAAACAGUACUUUCCUUCGGGACGCAGAGACAGGUGGUGCAUGGUUGUCGUCAGCUCGUGUCGUGAGAUGUUGGGUUAAGUCCCGCAACGAGCGCAACCCUUAUGGUCAGUUACUACGCAAGAGGACUCUGGCCAGACUGCCGUUGACAAAACGGAGGAAGGUGGGGAUGACGUCAAAUCAUCAUGCCCUUUAUGACUUGGGCUACACACGUACUACAAUGGCGUUAAACAAAGAGAAGCAAGACCGCGAGGUGGAGCAAAACUCAGAAACAACGUCCCAGUUCGGACUGCAGGCUGCAACUCGCCUGCACGAAGUCGGAAUUGCUAGUAAUCGUGGAUCAGCAUGCCACGGUGAAUACGUUCCC
rnacentral:rRNA from 1 species